rnacentral:rRNA from 1 species
AUUGAACGCUGGCGGCAUGCUUUACACAUGCAAGUCGAACGGUAACAGGUUAAGCUGACGAGUGGCGAACGGGUGAGUAAUGCAUCGGAACGUGCCCGAUCGUGGGGGAUAACACUUCGAAAGAAGUGCUAAUACCGCAUACGAUCUGAGGAUGAAAGCGGGGGACCGUAAGGCCUCGCGCGAUCGGAGCGGCCGAUGUCAGAUUAGGUAGUUGGUGGGGUAAAGGCUCACCAAGCCGACGAUCUGUAGCUGGUCUGAGAGGACGACCAGCCACACUGGGACUGAGACACGGCCCAGACUCCUACGGGAGGCAGCAGUGGGGAAUUUUGGACAAUGGGCGCAAGCCUGAUCCAGCAAUGCCGCGUGCAGGAAGAAGGCCUUCGGGUUGUAAACUGCUUUUGUACGGGGCGAAAAGGCUCUCUCUAAUACAGGGGGCUCAUGACGGUACCGUAAGAAUAAGCACCGGCUAACUACAUGCCAGCAGCCGCCGUAA